AGAACGAACGCUGGCGGCGUGGAUAAGACAUGCAAGUCGAACGGAACUUAUUCGGUAGUAAUACUGGAUAAGUUUAGUGGCGAACGGGUGCGUAACACGUGAGUAAUCUGCCGAGAAGUGGGGGAUAGCUUGCCGAAAGGCAAAUUAAUACCGCAUAUGACCAGGGAGGACAUCCUUCCGACGUCAAAGCCGUAAGGCGCUUCUUGAUGAGCUCGCGGCCUAUCAGCUAGUUGGUGAGGUAAUGGCUCACCAAGGCUAUGACGGGUAGCUGGUCUGAGAGGACGACCAGCCACACUGGAACUGAGACACGGUCCAGACACCUACGGGUGGCAGCAGUCGAGAAUUUUUCACAAUGGGGGAAACCCUGAUGGAGCGACGCCGCGUGGAGGAUGAAGGCCUUUGGUCGUAAACUCCUGUCAAACGGGAACAAGAAGUGAUAGUACCGUUAGAGGAAGAGACGGCUAACUCUGCGCCAGCAGCCGCGGU
rnacentral:rRNA from 1 species